UGCGAGUGAGCGGGAAAAGCUCAAAUUUGAAAUCUGGCGGUCCUUGGCCGUCCGAGUUGUAAUCUAGAGAAGUGUUACCCGCGCUGGACCGUGUACAAGUCUCCUGGAAUGGAGCGUCAUAGAGGGUGAGAAUCCCGUCUCUGACACGGACUCCCAGGGCUUUGUGGUAUGCUCUCAAAGAGUCGAGUUGUUUGGGAAUGCAGCUCAAAAUGGGUGGUAAAUUCCAUCUAAAGCUAAAUAUUGGCGAGAGACCGAUAGCGAACAAGUACCGUGAGGGAAAGAUGAAAAGAACUUUGGAAAGAGAGUUAAACAGUACGUGAAAUUGCUGAAAGGGAAACGCUUGAAGUCAGUCGCGUUGGCCAGGGAUCAGCCUCGCAUUUGCGUGGUGCACUUUCUGGUUGACGGGUCAGCAUCAAUUUUGGUCACUGGAAAAAGUCCUGAGGAAUGUGGCAGCUCCGGCUGUGUUAUAGCCUCUGGUCGUAUACAGUGGUUGGGAUUGAGGAACUCAGCACGCCGCAAGGCCGGGUUUCGACCACGUUCGUGCUUAGGAUGCUGGCAUAAUGGCUUUAAGCGACCCGUCUUAA
rnacentral:rRNA from 1 species